rnacentral:rRNA from 1 species
UACGUAGGGUGCAAGCGUUAAUCGGAAUUACUGGGCGUAAAGCGUGCGCAGGCGGUUAUGUAAGACAGGUGUGAAAUCCCCGGGCUUAACCUGGGAACUGCAUUUGUGACUGCAUAGCUAGAGUACGGUAGAGGGGGAUGGAAUUCCGCGUGUAGCAGUGAAAUGCGUAGAUAUGCGGAGGAACACCGAUGGCGAAGGCAAUCCCCUGGACCUGUACUGACGCUCAUGCACGAAAGCGUGGGGAG